AUUGAACGCUGGCGGCAGGCCUAACACAUGCAAGUCGAACGAGUGGCGGACGGGUGAGUAAUGUCUGGGAAACUGCCUGAUGGAGGGGGAUAACUACUGGAAACGGUAGCUAAUACCGCAUACCAUCGGAUGUGCCCAUAUGGGAUUAGCUAGUAGGUGGGGUAAAGGCUCACCUAGGCGACGAUCCCUAGCUGGUCUGAGAGGGUGACCAGCCACACUGGGACUGAGACACUGUCCAGAUUCCUACGGGAGGCAGCAGUGGGGAAGAUUGCACAAUGGGCGCAAGCCGGAUGCAGCCAUGCCGCGUGAAUGAAGAAGGCCUUCGGGUUGUAAAGUCCUUUCAGCAGUGAGGCGUUACCCGCAGAAGAAGCACCGGCUAACUCCGUGCCAGCCGCCGCGGUAAUUC
rnacentral:rRNA from 1 species